GAUGAACGCUGGCGGCGUGCCUAACACAUGCAAGUCGAGCGAUUUACUUCGGUAAAGAGCGGCGGACGGGUGCGUAACGCGUGGGUAACCUUCCCUGUACACACGGAUAACAUACCGAAAGGUAUGCUAAUACGAGAUAAUAUGCUUUUAUCGCAUGGUAGAAGUAUCAAAGCUUUUGCGGUACAGGAUGGACCCGCGUCUGAUUAGCUAGUUGGUGAGGUAACGGCUCACCAAGGCGACGAUCAGUAGCCGACCUGAGAGGGUGAUCGGCCACAUUGGAACUGAGACACGGUCCAAACUCCUACGGGAGGCAGCAGUGGGGAAUAUUGCACAAUGGGCGAAAGCCUGAUGCAGCAACGCCGCGUGAGCGAUGAAGGCCUUCGGGUCGUAAAGCUCUGUCCUCAAGGAAGAUAAUGACGGUACUUGAGGAGGAAGCCCCGGCUAACUACGUG
rnacentral:rRNA from 1 species